CCUGGUUGAUCCUGCCAGUAGUCAUAUGCUUGUCUCAAAGACUAAGCCAUGCAUGUCUAAGUAUAAAUGUUAUACAGUGAAACUGCGAAUGGCUCAUUAAAACAGUUAUAGUUUAUUUGAUAAUCGAAUUUACAUGGAUAACCGUGGUAAUUCUAGAGCUAAUACAUGCUGGUUAGCCUGACUUUUAGGAAGGGCUGUAUUUAUUAGAUAACAAACCAAUAUUCCUUGUGUCUAUUGUGACGACUCAUAAUAACUGAUCGGAUCGCAUGGGCUUUGCCCGCGACAAAUCAUUCAAGUUUCUGCCCCAUCAGCUUUCGAUGGUAGUGUAUUGGACUACCAUGGCUUUAACGGGUAACGGAGGAUUAGGGUUCGAUUCCGGAGAGGGAGCCUGAGAAACGGCUACCACAUCUAAGGAAGGCAGCAGGCGCGUAAAUUACCCAAUCGCGACUCGCGGAGGUAGUGACAAGAAAUAACGGACCGAAGCCUAUGUUUCGGGAUUGCAAUGAGUAGAAUUUAAACCCCUUUACGAGGAUCAAUUGGAGGGCAAGUCUGGCGCCAGCAGCCGCGGUAAUUCCAGCUCCAAUAGCGUAUAUUAAAGUUGUUGCAGUUAAAAAGCUCGUAGUUGGACUUCUGGGAGGAUGCCAAUGUCCGCUCGUUAGCGUGUGCAGCGGCGUCCUUCCAUCCUUCUGUUAACGUUUCUUGGUAUUCACUUACUGGUUUCGGGCUCAGAUAUUUUACCUUGAGAAAAUUAGAGUGUUUCAGGCAGGCUUGCGCCGGAAUACAUUAGCAUGGAAUAAUAGAAUAGGACUUUAGUCUCCUUUGUU
rnacentral:rRNA from 1 species